ACAACAUUCAGACCGUCGGUCUACCGAGCAAUAUCACCCGCUCGGUGGAAGAUGUUUCCCUUCAU
rnacentral:pre_miRNA from 1 species